AACGGAUAAAAGCUACCCUGGGGAUAACAGGCUUAUCUCCCCCAAGAGUCCACAUCGACGGGGAGGUUUGGCACCUCGAUGUCGGCUCAUCACAUCCUGGGGCGGUAGUAGGUCCCAAGGGUUGGGCUGUUCGCCCAUUAAAGUGGUACGCGAGCUGGGUUCAGAACGUCGUGAGACAGUUCGGUCCCUAUCCGUCGCAGGCGUAGGAAA
rnacentral:rRNA from 1 species